UUUUUAUUUUUUAUGUUACGAGGGAAAAAUCCCUCCAUCUUUCCUUUUCCUCCCACAACUUCAAACCCUAAAACCUAAUUUUUUUCUUCAAUCUCACUUUCUCUCAAUCUGAAACCUAUAGAUCUUCAUCACUCUCACACUCAAUCUCACUUUCCUUUAAUCUCACUCUUACCCUUGUUUUUGUCAAUUUCACCGGCGCUCACCCUCAAUCUCACUCUCACCCUCGGCUCCCUCAAUAUCACUCUCAAUCGACGAAGACUCAUCGUCAAUCUGACUCUCUCACUACCACCCUCGCCUAUCACCACCAAGUUGUUCGUUUCAUCCUCGCCUAUCACCCUCAAUCGCAGAAAUUCAAUCAACUCACAUUUUUACUUGUUAAUUUCUUAAUUUGAGUAUUUUUCUGUUAAUUUCUAAAUUCUUUUAAUUGCGCGUACUUUCUUAUUUCAGUUUCGCGGUUUCGCGAUCUCAGUUCUGUGCAAUUGGGGUUCUUCGUGGGUUUCACCGUGGUUCAUAGUUCUUCAGCUCUCAUACUUCAGUUUAUCAAGGUAGUGCUUUUCACUCUUCAAGCACAAUUGAGAACGCGUCAUCCAAUAUAGGCUCUAAAGUUAUAAGAUUACUAUAUAUGGUGUUUAGAAUCAAAUGAACAUACAUAAUCUAAACCUUCAAACUCAAUCUAAAAUUCUCAAGGUUCUGUGUAUACUGAAGAAAGAGGGCUAUCUACUAGGAUGACCAAGGUUCAUCAAUAAAUUUGCAGUUUCAUUGUUGUUUAAUAGAUGUGUUAUAUCAUUGCCAAAUUUGAACAAAUAAAGGUACAACGAGAUAUUUGACGACAUCAUUUUGGCUAACGAUGUCGACUCACUUCUCAGUUUCGUUAUGGCAAGUGACAAGAUCAUGGAAUGAAAGAUUGUUCUAGAGGUUAGUAACAAUAUGCAUAAUGAUCUUCUCUUUUGUUAACAUUGUUCUAGUUGCUUUAUCUUUUAAUAGGCUUAGUUAUUUUUAAUGCAAACUAGUUGAUAAUUAGUUAAGAUUGGCUUAGUCAGUACUUUGGGAGAGUUACUGAUAGAAAGACAAGUGAUCAAUCGGGGAUUGUUUUUGAAACUCAGGUUCCUCUUUCGCUUCCUCUUUUAAUUCUUUUUCAUCAAGUUCUAUUGUUUUGUGACUUAGCAUUAUGUGAACCUUAUUUGAUCUACGUGUGUGUGUGUGUGUGUGUGUGUCAGAGAAGUUCAAGAACAACAUAACAUUAAGGAGAUAAGGAUGACCAUACAUAUGUAGAAGGGAUCAAAGAUAAACUCUACAACAUAAUUGAAGAGCUUAAGUUUAGUUUAUACACAUUCAUAUUUUUUAAAGAACUUUAUAAACAUUCAUGGUUGCUGGACUAUAUUACACAUUGUAAUAUUACAAUUUAUGUACAAAAAUUAUCUAUAUUAGUAUUAUUAA